rnacentral:lncRNA from 10 species
GCCAGUCACUCCCCAGCUUCAGACUGAGGACCCAGAGCUGUUUUGAGGCUCAUCAAAGGUGUUCAAGCAAACCAGCUCCUCCCCACCCUGCCUGAGCUUUCCACUCUCCAGGGCAUGGAGGAAGGGGAUGAGGUUAAUGGAGGAGACUUUCGAUGCUGACUGUGCAUACAGACUCUCCUCCCUUUGAACACAUGGCUCAGUUCUUUUUCCUGCCACUCCAUUACAGAAGGUGUCCCUUUCUCCAACUGGGGAGCCAUGCCUAAGACUGUGCCCAGAUACUGAGCUAUUUCAUUCAUGUGAAAUUUGGUGACAGGGAGAAGGUGGGCAAGCUCAUUACACUGAAGAAGGCACAUGACUGUCGGGUAGUCCAGUCUCCUUCCCACUUCACCGGGGAGAAAUCACCAUGAGGGAUGCUACUCUAAAGGUGGCUGAAGGGAUGGGUGGGGAGGAGGUUUGGCUCUAGAAUGACAGGAUGUUGCUUCCCUCUGUGUUUCACCAUCCCAGACCACUCUGGGAAGACUGUGCUGCCCUUUAGCACUGGUGAGACGGAAAGCCAAAUGCAUGCCAGGCACACCAUAGGACCAAGGUUUUUGGUUUUGAGUCUUUGGUUUUUUGUUUUUGCAGGAAAGAGAAGCCAGCUCUAUAAUUUCACAAAGUCUCCCCACCUUACUCAUCUCGAGUAGUGACCACCGUGAAUGGUCCCACCGCCAGCCUCUUGGGAGGCAGCCGGGGAAAGCACUCCAUCCUGGGACUUAGGAGCAUGAACUCUGGAGAAACAC